GUAGGUCACACCGAGUGGCCCCUCCUCCUCAGACACAGGGCUGUGCCUGGGGAGGCCCAAGAAAGCCAAAGAAUAGGCCACGGGCUCAGAAGACAGGGUGAGAAACACUUAGUCAGCAUAAUCCCUGCCAAUCACACCAGGGCUUCCGGUAAUACCAAGAGGGGAGCGGGUGAGAAGGUGGAUUCUGAAUCUGACCACGUAACUCUGCACUGCCACGAAGGCCCCAGCUCAUGCCCCGCGCUCAGCAGAGAGUGGGCUUGGGCCUCAUCUUCCUGUAACCGGGGGCUGGGGACCACUUUGAUCUCACUGUUCCCCUUGCUGCUGUUCACACCAGUACGGCGCCUUCAAGAAGUUAUCCCAGGGCAAUUUUCCACCUUUGAAGUCCCCGGAAAACCCUGCCAAAAGCCGUUCUGGUGUGAGGAUGCUGCAGGGGCAGGCAGCCUGGUGCCGCGGCCUCCCGGGUGCCAGAACUGGAACAUCGAGACAUCAAAGGCGAAGGUGGCAGCAGGGCGAUGAGUAAGCUCCGCUGCAGGCUUGGCCUCGGCCCCAGAAGCCUUCUCCUCAUCUCCCAGUGGUGGCUGAGCAGGACUAGGGAGACGACCCAGAGAGCCUGGAGACCUGGCUUGGGGGAAGCCCUGUGGAUGCUUCUGGAGGCGGACACUUCCCUGCUGCUCUGUGCCUGGUAAAGGCACCGACCACUGCAGAGCAGAAGCAGAGUCCAAUCCUGGCUCCAAAGCGCCCCUGACUGCAAAGCUUUGGUACUGUUAUUACCACCGUGAAACAGGUGGGGAAACUGAAGCAUGAGGAGCUUGAGUAAUGUGUGUUAGAUCACGCAACCAGUAGUGGCAGAGCUGGAAUUCCGACCUGGGACUGCCUCCAAAGUUCUUGCGUAAGAAUACAGCUGCUACACUUGCCCUUCUUCAGCUGAGACCAAGGAGGGAAUUCUGAUUGAAAGCAAACCAGGGAGGAAAGAUGCACUAGCACUGACCUGUAACAGGUCAAUCUGUGCCAUGGCAUGGCGAGACGAAGUGGAGAACCCAUGUCUCAUUGGAAUCCCGGAUCAUCGUCUCCACGAAGGCUGUCUUCUGCAGCACUCCAGGGACUCACGGCUCUGGGCUUAUUGCUCAGUGUCAUGUGACAGAUGUUUUAGUGUUUAGUUGGAACCCUGGAUCUGCAGCAACCAUCUUGCUACCAACUUGAGGGUGAAGCCAGCCGUAAGAAUAGCAGGCCGGAAAGAUGGAAGAAACCUGGCUUUCCAAUGUCAUCAUUUGGUUGCUGAAUCAAUUGUACCUAAAGCUCACUCUAUCUGUUUUACCUUGAGUUAGGGUUGCCGUUGCUUGCAGCUAAACGCAUCUUCUUUUUUUUUUUUUUUUUUUUUUUUUUUGAGAAGGAGUCUUACUCUAUCACCCAGGUUGGAGUGCAGUGGCGCGAUCUCAACUCACUGCAACCUCCACCUCCCAGGUUCAAGUGAUUCUUGUGCCUCAGCCUCCCACGUAGCUAGGAUUACAGGCGUGAGCCACCACGCCCGGCUUAUUUUUGUAUUUUUGGUAGAGAAGGGGUUUCGCCAUGUUGCCCAGGCUGGUCUUUAACUUCUGGACCUUAGGUGAUCCACCCGCCUCAGCCUCCCAAAGUGCUGGAAUUACUGGCAAGAUCCACCACACCCAGUCUAAAUGCAUCUGAAUAUAACAUGACUCUCCUAGAGAAAAACCUGGAACCCAGAGCACCUGAAUAGAAACUCUUAAUUAUAUCAAUGAGGAAUAGUUAACUUAGCCAAGUUUCCAUUGAAUAUGAAGAACUGUAAAAUAAUGUCAGUUCUAGCCAAGAACUGAAAAGUAAUGUCAGUACUCUAUAAUGUGUAAUUCAUAGUUGCUACAUGUAAUCAGGCUUGGCCAAUUGUUUCCAGGAAGAUGGCACCCUCAUUUCUGAAUGAGGAUGACCAUUUUCCACUAAUCCAGAGGUAAAACAGUCAUUGUAACUGCACUGAAAUUUGCUGUAUCAAGUGAGACAUGAAGGUAAAUGUCAUUGGCCCAGAGUAAUUAGUCUUUUCCAGUGCUUAAAGGAAGGGAGAGAAACUAAUGCCUAUUGAGUGCCUUCAAAGCUUCUGCAAUGUGCUGGUACCCACAUGUUUCCAAUUAUUCCUCACAACACUAUGGAGAGGUUAUUUUGCCUGUUUUGCUGAUCAGGGAACUGAGACUCACAGAGUGACACCAACCCAUCAGUAUUUCAGGUUUCUGGGGAGGGUCCAGAGAGCAAGGGGGAAGCUGCUAAUUGCUUGUUGGUUCAAGAGAAAUGUUAUCUCAGUAGACUAACGUAUGGACUUUCUGAUGUCAGAAAAUGCAAACUAUGUAGUGUAACCUGUUUGCCAUUUUUUCUUUGUAUCCGCAAACUGACAGCAAAAUAUAUUGCACAAGUAUUAUAAAUCUGUUCAGUUCAAGUGCCAGAGAACAUUUACUCUGCUUCCUUCAUGAGUGGUGAGCAUGCCUGCUCCCCUACAAACUCACCAGCUCAGAGCAUUAUCAGGCUUCUCAUCUCUGCCAACCUGGUAAGUACAAAGGGCAUCUCUUGUAGUUUCGGUUGCAUUUUUCUCAUUAUGAGAUUGAGCAGCAGACAAUGUCUUUAAAAGACUUAUUUUGCUCUGGGUUUUAAUCUUAAAAUACUCUAAAUCCUCUUAGAAGUAGGUAGGGUCAGAUCUUCAAUCUGGAUGGAUUUACGUAAUGGGUCUAUGAAAGGGAUAGAAAGUCAAAGCAAGGGGGUGAGGCGGGGGAAUGAUGCGAAGUCAAAGCCCUCCCCCUCGGGGGCCCCUAGCCCAUCCCUGAUCCCUCACCCUUUGCAGGGCAUGUCCAGAGCUGCCACUGCCCUGGGCCUCCACCCCACAGCCCAGGACCACACCUUAACCUGGAAAGUCGUGGACCUCCUCAGGGGAGCUCAGGGAUCAGAUGGGCCGAUGGGUGUUACUGUGGCCAGGAGCACUGGGUCUUGAGUAUGUGGGUGGAACUUUCCCUCAUCCCCUGACCACGUCUAACCACAUGGCCUCUCCACUUUGAUAGUGGCGAGAAGAGUAGCCUCUUGCUUUUGCAUGUUUUCCUAAUCACAGCGUGCUUUCUUGUCUGCUAUUUCAUUUGACUUUUUUCAACCAGCCGCUGAGGUGGGGAUUAUUAGCACGCCCUUUGCAGAUGAGGAAACUGAAGCCCAGGGAGCUUUGGCAACCUGCCCAAGGUCACACAGCCAGUGAAGGAAAGGGCUGAAAUCAAACCAGGCCUGUCUGACUGCAAGGCAGGGUCUUACGGCUGCCUCCGGUGGGUAGGUCCGGGACCCAGCUGGUUUCCGUCCUGUGGCUCAGGUGCGAGGAGAGCCUCCCUGGGCCACCUGGGGAAGUCUGACUGACGUGCCAGAUCCUCACAGAACAAAGGAGAGAAGGGGACUCCUGAGAGGCCCCAGCAGCGUUAUCUGGGCAGAGAAAGUGAGUUUGAAGACCUCACACUCCAUCUGGACUUUAUCAGCUCCUUUCCUGGCACCCCCUCUCUCAGCACCAGGGAGCUCCUCCAGGAGCACUUCCUCCCAUGUCUGUGUUCGCCGUUAAGACUGGACACACCAGGAUGAUCUUUCAACUUUGGGUCCAAAGGCCCUCAGUGGAUGUAAAAUAGGUACAUGAGGCCUUGAACUGAACAUUUUUUUCACUUCACCAUAACCUGGAUUUUCCCAGUUUAGGAGCAUCUGUUUGUCUUGAUAACGUUUGGAACAAAGUGAAAAAAACUGGACUUUGAAGAGAACUUCAGGUGAAUUACACAUUUAAGUCAGAUUUUCCAUGUCUUUGUCCCAUGUUCAGUAAUUCAAGCUGUUAGGAGCCCUCAACUUUGUACAUAUAUUUCCUUCCUAUCUCUGCCUCUUCAUACCUGGUACUUACCGUGGAAUUUGAAAUCUUUCUGUGGCUGUAAGCAAGAAAGGCGGGAAAAAUACAAGAAGUUAAAGGGGAUUGGAUGGUUCAGAUUUGGUUGAUGAAUGAGAUGGUUUAGAGGCAUGUCUUGUAAGAGAUAAUUUUCUAUGUGCCAGGUACUAUUUAUGAAUCCCACAUUAUCUUAUUAAUGCUCACAACAAGCCUUGGGGGUAAAUAGAUUAUCAUCGCCAUUUCACAGAUUAGGAAAGUGAGGUUUCAGCAGUCAAUUGCUCAAAGGUCUCCUGCUAGUGAAACAGUCGUCUAUCCAAACAGUCUGAAUGACCUGUGCACAUGGGAACGUGCCACGCAAGCCAAGGGCAGGAAGGAUGAGAAGAGGUGGGCAGAAAGCCAGCUGGGAUGAAUGAAGGACCUACUACGUGCAGGCCCAGGGUCAGACAUUUUAUUUUCUUGAUUGCACUUCAGCCUCCCAGCAGCCCUGUUUUACAGAUGAAGAAACUGAGGCUCAAAGAGCUGGAGAAAGUUGUUGCCCAGGGUCCUGUGGAGAGAAAACUCAAGCUCCGGCUGUUCCACUACUCUGGGACACCACCCCCAGUGGGAACCCCACUUUUACAAGGAUUCGAAGGUAGGUGAGGACUUAUCUCCUGAAAUAAUUAGUAUACUUACUUUUUUGUUACAUAUUCCCACUAAAGGUUUGCAGCCCCACCCAGCUUGAAUAUCAGGAGAAUGGCAACAAAAUCUGGUUCAAGGCUCACAGAAUCCACGAAAGAUGCCAGCCCCUCCACGGUUGGAGAGUGAUUCACAAAUGUGUCUUUAAGGACUUUCCCAGGCCGGGCACAGUGGCUCACACCUGUAAUCCCAGCAAGCCGAGGCGGGAGGAUCACCUGAGGUCAGGAGUUUGAGACCAGCCUGGCCAACAUGAUGAAACUCCGUCUCUACUAAGAAUACAAAAAUUAGGCAGGCGUGGUGGCAUGCACCUGUAAUUCCAACCACUUGGGAGGCUGAGGCAGGAGAACUGCUUGAACCGGGGAGGCAGAGGUUGCAGUGAGCCAAAAUCACACCGCUGCACUCCAGCCUGGGCAACAGAGUGAGACUGUGUCUCAACAACAACAACAACAACAACAAACAGAAAAAAAAGAAAAAAAAAGGACUUCCCCAUCUCAGAGCAGAAGACAAACCCAGGUGACUCUGAGUCUGCACAGAAAAGGCAAGGGUGACCAAGAGUGAGGAGGUUAAGCACCUGUUGCUUUCAGCUCAGGUCCUGACCACAGCCCUUAAUAAGGACAAACCUCUCAGAUUGCUGCAGCCUUCAAUACGCAUGUUCCUAUAGUGCCUGGCCAAUAAGAAGUACUUACACAGUAGCUGUUAUUAUUGUAAAGGCGGCGCAAAGAGUUAAGGAAGGCCGGUAGCUAAGCUGAAUCUGAGUUGCAUCUUGUAGGCCAUGGUAUGUGAAAGAAGGGCAGGCCAGGAGGGGGAACAGAGUGAGUAAAGCCCAGAGGCAGGGGCAUGGAAAAGCAGGGAGGAGUUAAGCUUGGGGCAAAUAUCCUAAAUGAAGGGGAAUAAAAGGCAACAAAGUUUGCAAGUUGCACCGGGGCCACAUCUUGGAGUUGUUUGAGAACAUGUCCCAUGAGGCUGCAUUUAACACCAGCCACUCGCGCUUCCACCCCAACAGCAGGAGUAUCACAUCCACAUGCCAUGUGCGCAAUUCCUUACUUUAUAUCCUCCUCUAAGAUAAAUCUACCCUCCCUCUUUUUUAAGCAUAAGAGCAUUUAUUCUAAAAGGAAACUUUUGGCCAGGCAUGGUGGCUCACGCCUGUAAUCCCAGCACUUUGGGAGGCCUAGGCUGGUGGAUCAUGAGGUCAGGAGUUCGAGACCAGCCUGACCAACAUGGCAAAACCCCGUCUCUACUAAAAAUACAAAAAUUAGCCGGGUGUGGUGGCACGUGCCUGUAGUCCCACCUACUCGGGAGGCUGAGGCAGAAGAAUUGCUUGAACCCGGGAGGCAGAGGUUGCAGUGAGCUGAGAUCACACCACUGCAGUCCAGCCUGGGCAACAAAGCAAGACUCUGUCUCAAAAAAUAAAUAAAUAAAUAAAUAAAAGGAAACUUUUGCUCACUAAUGGAAAUGGAAGUGGCACCUGUCAUAGGCAGAGACAAAUUGUCAAAGUAAACAACUUUUAAGUCUCACUAGACACUCCUGCCCCAGCAGAAUCUGGUCAAAAGCUAGGUCAGCAAAUUUCAGAGGCAGUAUUAAGGACAAAGUAGCAACAAUCCAAACUUUCUUUUUAGGUACUCAGAAAGACUAACAGAACAUUGAGAAGGGGUGUUAGUCACAUCCCCAAACUGCAAGAGGCCAGAAGAUAGCGAGGGGUCUUUCAAACAAUCUAAAAUCUGAGACCCCAAUGUUGGAAAAGAGAAGGAAGGGAAUGGGUUAAAGUGCCAGUUGCUCCCUCCUCAGAUAGCAGGGCCCUGGACAUCCCUAAGAUGUCCCCUUCCUCUUUCAUCCUUCCCUGAUUCCAGCCUCCCCACCUUCCCCAGGCUGGCUUGCCUGAUUUUGUGAGCUCUUCAGCCGGCUUAAAGUGUAAUUCUGUAUUUCUGAUUCUAUCUGUGUUCCAGGAGGCAUUAUCUCUAUCUCUGUAAUAGCUUCUCAAGCAAAAACAUUUUACUGGGUAAAAGAGCAAGGAAUAGGCAUGACCUGAUGCUGAUUUAAAGCAAGAUUCCAGGCAAGCCCCAGAGCCCUCUCUAAGUAGCCUCUCUCCUUUCUGCUGUCUAACGAAACAGCUCCUAAUGGCCAUGGUAUCAUAUUGUAUCUCAUAUUUACACAGCACUCGGCACACAUUCACUUAUUCAGCGGACAUCCAUUGAGGGCCUAUUAUGUGCCAAGUCUUCUGGGUGCUGGCAAUCAACAGUGAACAAAGACCCGUGAGGUUCUUGCUCUACUUGGGAAAACAGGCAAUAAACUCUGAAACAAGUAAAUAAACACGAUCAUGAUGAGGCUACUGAAAAAGCAAUGUGGUAGCAGCGUGACGAUGAUGUGCCAUGGGAGACAGGUGGCAACAUCAAAAAAGGUAGACUGCCCCCGCCCUCCGAAGAGGUGGCAUGUGAGCAAGAAGGAGCCAGCCAAUGGAAAGCUCUGAAAGCAGAGUCUUUUAAAAACAAAACAAAAUCAAAAAACAAAAACAGGGCUCAAAGAAGAUGUCUGCACUUCUGCCAGACGGGGCAGAAAGAAGAUAAUGGUGCUCCAAUCAGGGAGACUGUGGAGGCAGUACAGGUGACAGGAGGCAGGGAAACGAGAAUUAGCCAGAAACACAGUAGGUUUGCCAUGUCAGUCAGACACUCGAGUGUGUUCUUGCUCUUCUCAACAAACCAUAAAGUAAGGACGAUCAGUGUUUCCCAUUUUACAGACAGGAAAACUGAAGCUCGGGAAGGCUACCCAGGUACAUAGGGGCAGUGGUGGGAUGUGAAUCUAUGGUUUAGGAUGCUGACGCCAGCACUAUCCCACCUGCCUCAUGGUAGAGCAGUGUCCAGACACAGAGGUGGCAAUGCAGCAGCUCAAGUGGCAGCUCCAGCACUGCAUGUGUUUUGUCCGUUCUACAUGGGUUUGGAAAAACUCACCUGAGCUAGCGAUCAACUCUUAAAUAUAACCCUUCACUCAAAAAUCUGGCUGUCUAUCUGAAAAUAUUUGAAGACCUGGUCAUAGUGGGACCAUGAUUUGAAUGACAACAAUGGGCUGGAGCAGUAUCUCUGCCCACCUUGAGAGAGGGAUGGGCACUCUGUUUUUCCACAGCCCCCACCUCUCCCGAUUGCUUGCCCCGGCCCCUUCACUCCUCUCCAUUGCAUUCAUGGCCUCCCUAUGCAUUCGGCUUUGAGGCCCCAGCUCUCUAGUGAUGAAAUAUGUGGGAAGAUCCACAAAGCCCAGCAAACGAGGAGUGACCAGAGGAAUUGAGUUACAGUUCCUCCCUAGAACACUUUCCUGCCUUUCUGAUGUAAUCACUUUGCGCAAACAGUAGGAAAUGUUCAGAAGAGCUGCUACAAGGCGGUGAUUAAGAGGUCAGGCCUGGUUCUUAAUUCUAGCUUCAGCAAGUCCUAUCUGUGGGACUUGGGCAAGUUCUAAAAACCUCAGUUUCUUUAUCUGUAAAGCGCAAAUAAUAAUAAUGCCUACUUUAUAAGUAGGAUUAGGGGAAACAGUAAUUUAGGAAACGUGCUCGGAAUGAUGCUAGUUUCGUGGUGAGUAUCCAAUAGAUGGAGCCGUAGUUGUCUUUCUCAUCUUAGAAAGCAGCUGAUUCUCCCAUGUCAUGACAGUGUUUGUGCAACUCCUCUGGAAUUCUCUCCUUUCUUCCUUAGGAGAGCAUUUUCUCAAUGUUCCUCUUUAUCUUUCUCCAAACACAAAGACAAAUCUAAGAGGAAAAAAAAAAUCUUCAAACUGGGUCGCAGAUACUCAGCUUCUUGUCAAUUCUCAUUAGGGUUUAAAAGCUCAGUCUCCUGCAUAUGCCCAAAGAUAAAGCAAUCCCUUCCAUUCCUAAUUCAAAGAACCAAAAAAAAAAAAAAAACAUGUGGUUGGACCUGGUUGAAUAUAUAAACUUUUGGGGAUGGCAAUAAACUAGGCAAAGUCCUGGUUAUUCAAUUUAUUAGCUCAGUUGUGCAACGUAGAAAUAAACAGAAAAUUACUUAUAAUUUUACAAUAAUAUUCAUUUAGAAACAUCACUUUUCUCCAUAUACGUGUUGCAUGAAACAGCUUUACUCCAUUCUUUGCCACACAUAAGGAGGCCGAGGAGGGAAGAUGGCAUGAGGCCAGGAAUUCAAGGCUGCAGUGAGAUAUGAUUGCACCACUACACUUCAGCCUGGGCGACAGGGUGACACCUCAUCUCUAAAAAAUAAAAUAAAAUAAUAAAAAAAUUUUGGAAAUUUUUAAAGCGUCUGCUCCACAGAGCCACAUUUUGCAUUGUGCAGUUUCGUUUUUCAGACCUUUCUCCUCUCUUCCAUCUGACUGCCCUGAGAUCCAGCACUUUUUGCUUCCACAUCUGAGGCUGUCGCUGGAAACAAGGUCUCCAUCCCAUUUGCAUGACAUGAGCACAGUCGGGAUUUGUAUUCAUUCUGUGGGUGUGUGUAUAUUCGUGCUCUCCACAAAAGAACCACUCAGCAUUGCUUUUUCAAGCCGAGCUUUAAAAGGCUUAUUUGCCAUGACAUCCAGCACUUGUAAUUUGAGGUCAUACCCCGAGGAAGAAUUGCUAAAUCUGUGUAAAAUGUUUCUGACUCCUUUUCUUACAGAUUCUGUCAGAUUAUCUCUUUAAGAAUUCUAAGCCCAUGUUGUUUGAGGUGGUUUUAGGCUAAUGUACAUUCCCCAAACAUUUCUUUGCUGUUCAAAAUAAAGCAAUUGAGAGGGUUCUUCGUAAAAACGAAGCACUUUGCAAGAGCUCAAGACAAAAGACAACUCCCUUUUUUCUAGGGGGUAAUUUUGAGGAUAGAAGAAAAACAGUGUUCUAUGUAAGCCUGUACAAUCACGAGAGCCAUUUGCUGAGGGCCAUGUGUGCGAGUGGUUCGUGUGCUCUCCACCUCCUCUUCUUCCUCCCAGGGGAUGAAAUGAGGCCCAACAAGUGCAAGACAUGGACCAUGUCAGCUCGUGACAGAACAGGGCUGGAACCCAAGUCUGCUAGGCUCAGCCCACUCCCUCCCUGUGCCGAGUUGACAUAUUCUACUUACAUUAAGCCAAGUGCUGGGCUCUGAUUAUACAAAAUCAGAUAAGCCAGGACCCUGUGUUCAAGGAGCUCCCAGGCCUGCUGGGGUGAGAGUGGAGCAGCAAGGAUGGAAGUGCACAGAUGCAAGGGUGGCCAGGCCUAUGGGGAUACAGGCAAGGGAGGCUGAGUGUU
rnacentral:lncRNA from 10 species